GUGUGUGUGUGUGUGUGUGUGUGUGUAUAUGUAUAUAUAUAUAUAUAUAUAUAUAUAUAUAUAUGCGUACACACACACACACACACUCACAG